rnacentral:rRNA from 1 species
UAACUUCGGGAGAAGGGGUGCUCUUUAGGGUUAACGCCCAGAAGAGCCGCAGUGAAUAGGCCCAAGCGACUGUUUAUCAAAAACACAGGUCUCUGCUAAACCGUAAGGUGAUGUAUAGGGGCUGACGCCUGCCCGGUGCUGGAAGGUUAAGAGGAGUGGUUAGCUUCUGCGAAGCUACGAAUCGAAGCCCCAGUAAACGGCGGCCGUAACUAUAACGGUCCUAAGGUAGCGAAAUUCCUUGUCGGGUAAGUUCCGACCCGCACGAAAGGCGUAACGAUUUGGGCACUGUCUCAACGAGAGACUCGGUGAAAUCAUAGUACCUGUGAAGAUGCAGGUUACCCGCGACAGGACGGAAAGA